rnacentral:tRNA from 1 species
GGGGAUUUAGCUCAGUGGUAGAGCACUUACCUAGGAAGCGCAAGGCCCUGGGUUCGGUCCCCAGCUAAAAAGACCCAGGUUCGGUUCUCGGAACCUCCA